UGGUUAUCAAAGACUCAUGUAGGAUGGUCCCGAGCUCCAAACCAUGGAGGCAGUGGCCUCUUCUCUGUCUCUGUUGUUGAAACCUGAAACAUUGUGUAUGAAGUCUAAUCUUAUGCAUGCUCAUUUAUCCUUCUUGUUAAUGGAAUUGGGGCUGGCAGAAAAUGUUAAGCACGAAGGAAAGCAGCUGCAUCACCACAAACGCCAAGGAGAAGCACACGAAUGAAUCUGGGUUUCCAUUUUGAAGUUAUAGCUGCUGUACUGAAAGGAAA